GUCUUGGAUAAGAUCUACAAGAAUUAUCUGGAUUGCCAGGCAGAGACUCUUGUUCUCUUCCCUUGCUUUCUCCCAGAGUCUCUCUCUGUCUAUGAUGAGCUGCUUGAAGCUAAGGGUGGUUGUAGUGACACAACCAAUCCUGUGCCCUCUACCACUGGGACUGUGCUGAGUCAGACCUGAAGCCAGCACAGCACUGGAUCUUGCCCAAGGCCCACUGUAAUCACAACCUAGCUACCACCUAUAUUUGCUCAAGGUCCCACGGCUCUACAAUCAGCAGAUGGUGAAGCCAGGAAGUUUUGUGUUCUUCUCUGCAGAGCAGCAAGUUCCCCUAGAGAUGAUGUCAAAAUCCUUAGAGAUCUCCCUGGUGCUCUAUUCUGUGACUAAACUGGCAUUGAAACUACAAGACAAAGUCCUUUCCACUCUUUUCUCCCCUUUCCCAGACAGAGGAGCCUCUCCCUGUGUCCAUCAAUACCAACACCAGUCCCAGGGAGUACUGCCAGGGUGCCACCAAUAUUUACUUAAGGCCCAUGGGCUCUUCAGUCAGCUCUUAUGAUAAAUGCUGCCAGGCCUGUUACUCACUCUUCAGGGAAGUAGACUCCCCUCUGGCCCAGGUAGGUCCAAAAAUGCCAUCCAAGAACGAACACCUGAAAUUGGGGACCCCACUUGGUACCCUUCUCCACUCUGGCCUAUCUGGUACCUAAAAUGCAAUACAAAGUUCCCUUUAUCUUUUUCUCCUUUUCUCAAGCAGAAAGUGCCUCAUCUUGUAGCCACCACAGCUGUGAGUGUGCUGCAUCACACAUGAAGCCAGUACAUCUCAGAAUCUCACCCAUGGCCCAGCCCACAAUGCCAGAAAUGGAGACUGAAAGCUUCAGAGGUCAAAGACAAGGUCUAGGAGCAAAGCUAACUAGGAAGGGAGAAGUGGAUGCCAGCAUGGAGUAUGGAUUUCAAGAUUUGGUCCUUGGAAAACCUGCAGAGGCUUCAGCAUCUUAGAGGAAACAUCAAAGCAGCAAGGCAUAUCUCCUUAUCAAAAAGGACAGGACUAGAAGGAGCCAACUAUUUGUGCCUGUGAUCUUUUCUAAUAUAUUUAUCUGUGCCUAGACUUCUGUACCUGUUCUAAAUCCAAUGUAAUCUUUUUCUACUCUCAUUGAACUACUUUGAGAUAUUGUGAUCAUUGAUUCAAUAAUUAUUCAGCAUCCUAGAUGAACCUGUCACUUUGAUAGACCCCUUGGGACUCAGGCCAAUAAUUGGUAUUGGAAUUGAAAAUCACCUAUCUGACUCAUAGCCCACAGUAGGGAAGCUGAUGUGUUCUGGGCCCUGUGGCAUUAUGUAGACACCUCAUUAUAUCAAGCAAGCUAGAGAAAGGGUCAAUAGAGGAAACCAAUAUUUAUUAAUAUAUAUCAGUCAAACCAUAUGAAAUUUCCAGUUUCAUAGAUCAAAAAAUGACAGAAAAUUGGCAAUUUCUUAUGAUUUAGCCUGAAUAAAAGUCACUUUUUUGCACA
rnacentral:lncRNA from 13 species